GAUGAAGAACGUAGUGAAAUGCGAUACUUGGUGUGAAUUGCAGAAUCCCGUGAACCAUCGAGUCUUUGAACGCAAGUUGCGCCUGAAGCCAGUAGGCCGAGGGCACGCCUGCCUGGGCGUCACACGUCGUUGCCCCCCCAUCUAAUCCUUCGGGAUUGCGGGGGGCGGAUGAUGGCCUCCCGUGCGCCUCGUCGCGCGGUUGGCAUAAAUGCCAAGUCCUCGGCGACGCACGCCACGACAAUCGGUGGUUGCGAAACCUCGGUUGCCCGUCGUGUGCGGUCGUCGCGCAUCGAGGGCUCGAAAAAAUUGCCGGGCUCCGGCUCGACUUUCAACGCGACCCCAGGUCAGGCGGGGUUACCCGCUGAAUUUAAGCAUAUCAAUAAGCGGAGGA
rnacentral:misc_RNA from 1 species